GCCUUCUUAGCUCAGGGGACAGAGCAGCGGUCUUCGGAACCGCGUGACGGGAGUUCGAAUCUCUCAGGAGGCAC
rnacentral:tRNA from 2 species